GUCUCUUUGUUUAUGUUUUUAUAAAGAGUCUAACCUGCCCAGUGAUAUUUAUUUAACGGCCGCGGUACUCUGACCGUGCAAAGGUAGCAUAAUCAUUUGCCUUAUAAUUGAAGGCUUGUAUGAAUGGUUUGACAAGAAUUGAUCUGUCUCUUAUUAAUUAAAAUGAAAUUGACUUUUAGGUGCAAAGGCCUAAAUAUAACUAAUAGACAAGAAGACCCUAUUGAGCUUUAAAGAUUAUAAUAACACGAGCUAUAUUAAAGAUAAGAUUAUAAGUUAUUAAGAUUUUUAGUUGGGGCGACUAUGGAACAAAUAAAACUUCCAAAAUUUACAGUAUUUAUUGUUAAUUUAUUUAAAUUUGACCCAAAAUGUUUUGAUUAAUAGAAUAAGUUACCAUAGGGAUAACAGCAUAAUCUAUCUUAAGAGUUCUAAUCGAAAGAAAGGUUUGUGACCUCGAUGUUGGAUUAAAAUAUCCUAAGGGUGUAGAAGCUCUUGAAGGUUGGUCUGUUCGACCAUUAAAAUUUU
rnacentral:rRNA from 1 species